rnacentral:rRNA from 1 species
UCAUUAGUUAGUUGGUAAGGUAACGGCUUACCAAGACUUCGAUGAGUAGGGGUCCUGAGAGGGAGAUCCCCCACACUGGUACUGAGACACGGACCAGACUCCUACGGGAGGCAGCAGUGAGGAAUAUUGGACAAUGGACGGAAGUCUGAUCCAGCCAUGCCGCGUGUAGGAAGACUGCCCUAUGGGUUGUAAACUACUUUUAUACAGGAAGAAUAAGAUCUACGUGUAGAUUGAUGACGGUACUGUAAGAAUAAGGACCGGCUAACUCCGUGCCAGCAGCCGCGGUAAUACGGAGGGUCCGAGCGUUAUCCGGAAUUAUUGGGUUUAAAGGGUCCGUAGGCGGGCUGUUAAGUCAGAGGUGAAAUGCUGCGGCUCAACCGUAUGCACUGCCUUUGAUACUGGCGGUCUUGAGUUAUAGUGAAGUGGCUAGAAUAAGUAGUGUAGCGGUGAAAUGCAUAGAUAUUACUUAGAAUACCGAUUGCGAAGGCAGGUCACUAACUAUACACUGACGCUGAUGGACGAAAGCGUGGGUAGCGAACAGGAUUAGAUACCCUGGUAGU